UACGAAGGGGGCUAGCGUUGCUCGGAAUGACUGGGCGUAAAGGGCGCGUAGGCGGUUUGUACAGUCAGGUGUGAAAUUCCCGGGCUCAACCUGGGGGCUGCACUUGAUACGUAGGAACUUGAGUGGGGAAGAGGGUCGUGGAAUUCCCAGUGUAGAGGUGAAAUUCGUAGAUAUUGGGAAGAACACCGGUGGCGAAGGCGGCGACCUGGUCCGAUACUGACGCUGAGGCGCGAAAGCGUGGGGAGCAAACAGG
rnacentral:rRNA from 1 species